UAUACACUGUAAAAAAUUUCCGGGAUUUCACAAGAUGUAACUGUGAUAUUUCACAGUAAAUUACAUUAUUAGCAUGUCACAGGCUUUAGCUGUGACAUUUCACAAUAUAGUACAGUAUUCAGACUUUUAUUGUGAAAAUAAUGCCAUCGGCGAAAUCACAGGGAACGGCUGUAAGUUCCGACGCGCGCUAUCUGUUUGGGUUCUCUCAUCUCUGCGGUCUCAUCCAACGGAUUCUGUGGUAAGUGUUAAAAUGUCAAAUUUUGUCAAAUAAAUGAUUGAUUUAUUUUCAAAAUAUAUGUCAUAGUGCAUGGAGUAUUAUCCAAAUGUCGUUAUUUGUAGGUUUCGCGUGGGUUGAACCGCUGAAUUUAAAAAUAAAGCAAUGAACAGAUGUUGGUAGUGUUACUCAUCUUUCUGCGGUAUCCACUGGGGAGUAAAGUUAUGAGGUAUUUUUUCCACACUUCACAAGGAUGGGGACAUCACUCAGAAGAGUGAAGUUUCGAGAAGCCCUGGAUAACAACUACAAUAACAUUCUGAAGUUCGUCCAAGGAGUCAACUAUCAUCAACGGGGUGCUUCUUGGGCAUUAAUUCGGAGACAGACAGGCAGAAAGGACAGAAACAACAAGCUGCAAGUCUGUACACUGAUUAGAAAACUUAUGACUUGAAUGGAUGUCAGUCUAGUGUGUCACAAAUACUAGUUCUUUGUUUAGCUAGAGGCGAUUGUACACUUUGUACUCUUACAAUGUUCUAUAUCAGGAGUCUCCAACGUGGUGCCCAUGGGCAGCAGGUAGCCCGCACAGAGUCUGUGAGGUGCCCAACAAAUCACAUUCUAUUAAUAGUCUCAAUUGUAAUAUUUGUUGAUUACAUAUUUUUUAUAUUGACUUGGCUUGGUUUACAUAUGUUACAAUUUUAAACAAUACAAAAACAUAUCAAAAAGUACAAUGAAAUAAAUCAACAAGUAAAACAAAAAAAAGUUUUGAGUAGACUAUAUCAAAAGUUAGCCCUCCAGAAUGUUUUAUCCAUUGUGGUAGUCCUUGCUCACAAAAAGGUUGGAGACCCCUGUUCUAUAUUGUGUCUGUUACAUAAAGAUACAUGAAGAAAUUAGUGAAUGUCAGUCUACAUUGUAAAAAUAAAAUAUUUGUUGCACUUAUUUUUUAAGUUUAAUUAACUCUAAAUUACAAUUUAUUUCAACUUUCUUGACUAGUGAGGAGUUGCUAUUAAUUAUAAAAAAUAAAGUUGAAAUAACUUAAGCUAACUACUUUAAUUUUAUAAUUUAUAGCAACUCUUCAUUAGUCAAAAAAGUUAAAUGAAUUAUAAAUUCAAGUUGAUUAAAUUGAAAAAUGUAAGUUCCGUUUUUUACAGUGUAGAGCGGGGUGGGCAUUCCUGGUCUUUGAGGGCCACUGUCCUGCAAAGUUUAGCUCCAACCCUAAUCAAACACACCUCAAUGUCAUUUCCAAGUCAUACUGAAGCCUUUGAUUGAGAUUUUCAGGUGUGUUUGAUUAGGGUUGGAGCUAAACUUUGCAGGACAGUGGCCUUCAAGGACCUGGAAUGACCACCCCUGCUGUAGAGUGUAAGCAGUGUUCCAAUGCACGAAAGGAAAUAUUAUUCUGUGUAGUUAUUAUUCUGAUGUUAUUUAUACUAUCUGAGAUAGUCAAUGAAUAAUAUGUAAUAAUAAUAUGUAAUAAUAUGUUAUGUACAAAAUAAAAGUAUGAAAUCGA